GCAUCAUAAGUGAGUGACAUUUGCGCAUGCACAGUUAAAUAUAAUCAAUAUCUUUUGCACUUUGAUUUUAUUGGUCUUUUUGCUGUGUGCUGAAGUGAAAGAACAAGUUUGAUUUUUGUGGCAAAUAUGGAUUUAAGGAUUAAUUCUAAGCAGCAGUUUAAUGCACAUCAUCCAUUGAACUUGAAGAAAAAAGACAUCAUUUACUCUGAAACUGACGACAUUGCCAUUAUUACCGAUUAUUACCUUCAUCUCAAGAGAAGAAAUUAUCAGAGCAACUGCACAAACCAUAUAGACUCAACGCGGAUGAGUAAACCCUUGAAUGGAUUAUGCAUCAAUAAAUUAAAGCAACCAAACAGUGCAGCAAUGCUGAACAGUGAAAACAGCCCCCACUCUGCACUUGGUGAGGUACAGACUAAGCAAAUAUCUGCCUCAGAAAUGGAGAAAAAGACUUUAGAAAUUCAUGAAAACAGCCUGCCCUUGAAGUCCAGUGAUGAAGACAAUGACAGGUACCAACUUCCAGAUACUCAAAAUCGGGAACUUAAAAACUCAGACAGGAGUCACGAGUUGCAUAGCACUAGUCAAAGAGAAAAACUUAGUAGUGGUGUGAAUGGAUUAAAGCACGACGCGCGAGUGUUGUCAAGUAUACCGAUGCCAUUACACGUGCAGAUGGGACGCAGUUGUGAACAGUUAGUGGGUGAGCCCCAGUUGCACGUGCAGGAAAUGAGCUCGACAGUUUCAUCUCCAGUUCCCACGCCCAAGACGAGCCCUAUGAACAACAAUCUGAAGUGCCUGGUGUGUGGAGACAAGUCAUCGGGCAUCCACUACGGGGUGCUAGCCUGCGAGGGCUGCAAGGGGUUCUUUCGGCGCGCGCUGCAAGAUGUUGGAGACCCUGCCAGGAAGAAGUGCUUCUACAAUAAGAACUGCGAUAUCACGAUUUUGACACGAAAUCGAUGUCAGUACUGCCGUCUGCAGAAAUGCCUGGCGUUGGGGAUGUCACGAUCAGCCGCAAAACUUGGCAGACGUUCUCGAAAGAUGCGUGACCUGAUAAGAAGCAUCGAAGACAAGCAGACUGAACAGGCCUUGCAUGGCCUACUGAGCCUGAACUCCGACAAUGAGUACCGCACAUUGAUAGACGGGCUGGACAAAGACGAGGUGAACCUGAACAGGCAGGAGAUCAACCAUCUCUCAGUGGCCGCCCUGCAGCUGUUACUGAAGCAGCGCGCAGAGUGCGGGCCAAACUACCCGCGUCAAAGGGCACACAACUCCUGCACGCCCCCACAGCACAACAGUCCCCGGUCUGACACUCCCCCACCCGCUCACAUUAAUCUUUCUUGCAGCACCGAAAACGAAAGACCUCUGGAUCUUUCAGACGAGUCCAGCCUGUCGAGUAGUCAUGACCAGCAGCUUUCUGCUAUGCGUGCAAGCUCCUUGCCAUUGAACCUGAUGACCACAGCUUCCCGGGCCCAGAUGAUGGGCUCCAUAUUGAAUAUGCAGUCUCAAUUGCCAUUCCAUUUACCCCACUCCCCUCUUGCCAUUAAGACCGAGGACAGACACCUAGAAGAGAGGAGGUCUCCGUACCUGCCGAUGUUCGAUUCAGCGCUGAUGGGUUCUCCCCAUAACCAUCCAGCUGGUCUGACCCCUCAGAGCAUAGCAGCACAGCAGUUUGCGGUUCAUCAGCAAAUGGCGGCUGCUCGACAGUUUAUUGCCCAGCAUCAACUUGCAGUCAGCAGCGCUAGUCUUGAUCUGAGAAUGGCAGCUUCCACAGCAAGUCGAGGAAUGGAAAGUCGUAGUUAUUACAAUGAAGAUGAAGAGGGUGAGGAGGAAUAUAGCAUGGGUUCAGAUCCCUCAAGCAAUAGCACUUCAAAGUCUGUGAUCAGCCAACAGUCUAGUCUAUUAGAUCUUAGAAAGGUUGUUAAAGAGGAGGAAAGCAUAAAGCACAGUCGCAGCCCUAUCAAGAAGCGACCGUACGUUCCAUCGGACAAAGAUGUGGACCCUGAGGUUGUGUAUAAACAUUCCCACUUGAGCACAGACAGUUCGUCAUCUUCCAUCAGAAGCUAUACCCCUGAUAGGAGGUCCUCUUCAACAGAGCAGUCCCCGCUGGCUGCCCCCUACCCCGCCCACCUGGUGCCAUUGUCAUCCUCUUACAACGUAGCCCAGCCAUUGCACAUCGACACAUCCGCUCAUCUUCACAUCGACAUGCGUGGCCCAAGGCCAUCUUCACCCAGAUCUUACCAUGAGCCCACUUCUCCAGCAAACUUUCAUAGAGUCAUCUCCCCUGAACUGCGACCGAGUCGAGAAAAGCUGCCCUCAAAUUCCGAUCACCACACGGCGGUUGUGGCGCCUAUUGUCCAAAGUCGAUACAGCUCACACAUGAAUAGAGAGGAUGAAAUGCGACUCACUGUUUCAUUGCUUACUGUAAAAAUCCAUGAGUCUUUCUUCCAGACAUUCACGUUUCUGAAGUCGCGUCUAGACGAGAUGCACUUUAAACUGCGCAACUACCAUGGUGGGGAAUCCAUGGACAGUAUUAUCAACCGCCUGCUGGCUACCCACCAUGACAAAUCCAACAGAUUCCAGGGUUUGGACGGUCGGCCGCUGAAGACCGGGGAGGUGUGUUGGAAUGCAUUCCAGCGCCUCCUGAACCAGUCCAUUCAGGACGUUAUCAACUUUGCCAAGCGCAUACCCGGCUUCACAAACCUUGACCAGGAGGACCAGAUCAGCCUCAUUAAAGGAGGCUGCUUUGAGGUUGCAUGCGUGAUUCACGCCCAGUUCAUCGAUGGGGACUCUAACACGAUCUAUCUUGAGGGUCUCAGUGCCCUCUGGCGGCGCGAGGACAUGAAGCAGGGGUUUCCACUGGGCGAGCACUUCGUAGAGCUUAUGUUCAACCUGUGCAUACGCUUUAACACCUUCAAGCUGGGUGAUGCAGAAAAAGCACUGUUCAGUGCCCUUGUACUCAUCUCACCAGACCGUCAAGGCCUGAAGAAUCGAGACAAGGUGAGCCGCCUGCAAGAACUGCUGAUCCAGGCCCUACAGAACCAGGUGGGCGCCACGCACCCCGAGGAGCCUGGCCUCUUCCCCCGGGUGCUUAUGAGCAUCUCCAGCCUGCGUGAGCUCGGCGUUGAGCACAGACGUAUGCUGGGCAGUCUAAAGGGGCAGAUCAACUUUGCCCACGACCUUUAUGCAGAAACCUUUGACCUGCUGAGCUAGUUUUGCAGCAGUGUUUACAACCGCUGAGUGUUUAUGUUAGUCGUGAUUUUGUGUUUUUGAAGUCAUUUAUGAUCCUAUGUUUGAAUCAGUGUCUCAAGUUUUAACUGGUUCUUGUUCUUUCUCUCAUUUAUCGCAAGUCACAAAGUGAAGCGAUGAAAUCACAAAUCAUUGAUAUCAUAAGCUUCUUACAAUAUUGUUGUUGUCAUUGUUAUUAUUGUUUUUUUUUGCAUUAUGUAUUUAUUGCUGAUCAUUGUCUUUGAUCCAUGAUGGCAUAUAUAAUUUUUUAUAUGGUUUUUGUACUUUUUCUAAGGUGAUAACUCUGUGUCCCUACAAAGCAUAUACAAAGUGGUUUUUUGUAGACUUGCAUUCUGAAAAGGAAAGUGUUAACUCCUGAGUGAGGCAAUAUCACGCAGUAGAACAGAAAUUACACAAUUAAAUUAGGUCUGCAAUAUAUUAACAUUUGCAUGGUAUGUAAUGUAUAUAUACAGCAAUCUUUUGCAGUAUUGUCCACGUUUAUGCAGUCAUUCGAAAUAUUGGUAAAAAAAAAUUAUGAUGAAUUAGAACAGCCAAAAUAAUCAGCUUACACAAGCAAAGCUUUCCUACUUUAUUUCAUAAAUGUCUUCAAAUAAGGUUUUUUGAUCUCUAUUUAAGCAAGUUCAAUCAUGAAUAUUGAAGUAAACAUGUUUUUAAUAGAUUCUAUUGAUUCUGUGGAAAUACUUGUUAUGACAUGUAUUGUAUUAUUAUGCACAAAAGACAGUAACAUAAUUUGCCCCAUCGGUGCAAAAAGGUUCCAUGUUACAUUGAAAUUAGAAGGCAAAUGGUACCUUUUUGCACCAAUGAGGCAAUAUUACACUGUAACUCAGAAUGUUAGUAUUUUGUGCCAGCUUAGAUUUAAAUGUCAAAGUUGAAAUGUUAAUGUCAAACAACGUUUGAUUUAAUAAUUAUUUUUAGUUCUUAAGAAGCACUACCUGAUUUAUCUUGUUGUCGAUCAAACUUGUACAUCAUUUGAGCAGAUGGUAACUGAUGAUGGUUUCAUACUUCCAUCAAAACUUUAUUCUCUCUUGAAUUAUAGAUUUCUUUUUAUGCAAUUAUUGACUAGACAGAAUAUGCUCUGAUAUUUACUGGUAGAUAAGCUUAUUGACUGAGGCACAGCAAAGGCCAAUAUGUUAUUGUUUCAGUGAAUAUCAAAUCAUAUUCCAUGGCUCUCUGGUCAAUUAUUCAACUAAUAAUACACAUGUAAUGUUUAACUGGCGUUGCACACACUUGUCUGUGAAAAAGAAUGCAAAAGGGUAGCCAAAAUGUGUUAUUUAUUAAUGAUGUCUUUAACAUGACACCUUAUAAUGCCUAAUGAUUUUCUUUGCACUAACAUUGUUUUGAGCAUGUAAAAACGGGGGACAACGCCAGUUUCUUUUUAUAUGACCACUAUCUUUCGUAUACUUCUAUCAUGUUGAUUAAAAUUAAAGAAAUAUAUAGUCUUUUGAAAAACUUGGUUAAGUGGGGGCUUAAUAAAGAUUUAAACAAAAAUACUUUUAUGUUAGGUUUUGUGAAAUGAAUUUCAAUUAUCUAUGCAUUUGUGUUUUGUUCUUCUUUUUUGUAAUCACGUUUUGUUGUUUUGUACAGUUUAGUAGAUUCUGUCAAAAUAAUUAUGUAUUCAGUAAGAAAAAUGUUGUUUUUUUUUCUUAAGUUUGUAUCAUAAUAUUUGGACAAGGGUAACUGACUCACUGAUUAGAAUUUCUCUGCCACACACAAAUAAGUCUCGUCAGUGUGGCUAUAAUGUGUUCAGAUCACUCAUAAUUUGUAUUAAUGUACAGGUACAGUUCAGUCUAUGGAGACAAAGCAGGUAGUCAGGCUUCUAAGCAAAGUCUGGGGCUGCAUUUCUUUAAUUACAUUUGCAUCAGUCUUGCUCUGUGAAAAUAGGGUUUAAUGCAAUGUAAAGUAUCCUUGCAGACUAGCCGGUGCAGUCUGGGAAAAUGGGGCUUAAUGCAAUGUAAAGUAUCCUUGCAGAUUAGCCGGUGCAGUCUGCAGAGGCUUAUCAAGGACAACACAUUUUGCUUUAAUGGAAUUACAGUAUUUGUAUUUGUUUAUUGGAAGUCUCUUUUAAGGCAAAAAGUUUUGUCCUUGGUGAGCUUGGGCUGACUUUAUAUGCUAAACUGGGACGACACUUCGUGUUACGCACAUUCAUUAAACCAAGUUUUCACAGUGCAAGGCUCAUAUGGAUUUAAGUAUGAUUAAAGGCAUCAUAGUGUGACUGUUGCUGCCAGAUGUAUAGCAUGAAAACUAAACACUCAUUUUUACUCUUAGGAUUAAUCUUAUAUAUUUCCUUCAUGUUUGAUAAUUUGUGUUCGCGCAAAAUUAUGUUUAAUCAAGUGUGUUUAAUUUAACCAUAGAUAUGGUUUGGUGUGAUUCUGUUUUAUUGAUUUUACUCAAUUCCAGUACAGAAAUAAAAUAAUAUCAGUGCAUAAAGAUUAAUGUGAUAUUAAUAUUGCUAAGCUAUUUAAAGUGUUUAACCCCCAUUUUUAAAAAUAUUGAGUCUCAAUAUAUAUUAAGUUAAUAAUUUGAAGUGAUUAAUGGAUGAAGAUGAAGAGUUAUAAAUAUUGCUUCUAUGCCUCUAGUCAACUAAAACCAAUACAUAACUAAGUUAAUAAUAAUUUUGUAAAGCAUAGAGCUAAACUCUUCCAUACCAUACUUUGAUAAACAUUUACAUGUUGCAUCAUCAGUGGUCCUGCAUGUCCACCAUUAUGAUAUUUUACUGACUUGCAAUUGCGAGUGCUAUUUUGAAGAAGAGAUUAUUUUUAGUAAUGGGAUGCAACUCUUGUCAUUGUUUUGAUUCAAUGAAAGUGUAAGUUAUCUUUCCUACUAGAAGAAUUGUAAUUUGACGGUAAUAAGAACUAUUUUUAUAAUAAAGGGAAACAACUUAAUUUCAAAAAUAUAAAUAAAUUUUGCAACUCAGUUUCAAUACUUCCAUACAUUUUGUUAUUGUUUAGAGCUUUUUGAAGACCAUUUAUAUUCUAGGAUAUCUUUUUAUGUCUUGAAUCAUGUUGAUUAAUUUGUGCUGUGAAAGUUGAUACAAUGUCACUAUAUGUAUAUAGUAGAGGUAGUGCAGAUGUUUUCUAUUUAUUUAUUUAUUAUUUUUGAGAAGUUCAAACUUGAAUGCUUGUGAAAUAUUUAUUGUUAGAAAGGAAACUUAAUGUUGAUUGCUAUUUUACAAUCUUUUGUAAAGAUGUUGAGAUUUAUCCAAUCUUUUAUACACUGUUGUUUUUGUACUUGUUAAGUCUACCAUUUUGUUGUCCUGUUUUAGUUCUCUCAAAUUCAAGUCUUUAAUUUAAGGCAUAAAUUCAAGAAGACAUUGAUGUUUUAUAGCCAAAGUAUUUUAACCUGUUUCCUUGUUGUAUUGUGUUUAGAUUGUGUCCUCUAAUUCCAUUUUUCAGACAAUACAAUUCCAUAUUUCAGACAAUACAUUUCUGUUUAAAAAACUAAUAAUUGACUGCUGUUGUUUUAUAUUUUGCUUUUAAUGUUCCAGUUUUGAAAGUUCACAAACGCUUAAGUGCAAAAUCAUAGCAAAUUAGUUGUAUAAGAUUUAAAGAACUAAUGUUCAACAAAAUGUGUACAAUUGGAUAAUUUUUACCCUAAUUUAAAAUUGUCGGAAGGUGUAUAUGUAAUUUUUAAAAAAGCAAAAUGAUAAUAAAUCAGAUAUGGACAGAAUAUUGCAAAUAUGUUCGUUAAAAAAUGUGUUUAGGUUUGUGCAUUUUCUAACAAAUAACUAUGAUUCAAUCAUUGCUUAUCCUGAGAUUGCCAUGUAAAUGUUUCUGAAAGUGUCAUGUCAGCCAACCUAGUGUCUGUAUUUGUCCUGGUGCUUCAUAUACAUCCUCAUGAUCCUAUGGUUACAUAUCAGACACAGACCUUGUGGUUUUAAACCCAUUUUCAUGUUGCUUCUUCUUACUGUGACCAUGCAAAAUGUACUGUAAAUGUUCUGUUGUGACUAACAAAAACCGAAAUUUUUGCAUUGAUGAUUGUACAUUUUUUGUGCUUUACUUAUUAUUACGGUAAUUUUUAUCAUGAAAUGUUUAUCUAUUGUCACAAUUUAUGUUUUUAUUGUUUAUUUCCGCUUUUUAUACAAAAAUGGUUUCUACAGAGUCAGACAUGGUGCUUGGAUGUAGCGGAUAUCGUCCUGCCAAUUUUUAUUAAUCAUCCUUGUGUUUGACUUUGAAUCAAUUUUAUUUUUCAAGAUGAAUAUGUCUAUAUGUCAUAUGACAUUUUGAGUGUAAAUGUGUGAUAAUUAUAUGACUCAUGUUUUGUUAAAAUGGGUUUUAUUCCACAUGCAGCCAGCAUAGCUCAAGACCAGCCUGCACAAUUGUGACUGCUUCUUGUUGGUAUUUACCCUUUGCAUGCUGGGAAAUUUGUUGUCUGCUAAAAUGUUGUCUGAUGAAUUUCUAAAAUUAGCAUUUUCUUCUAUUUUUUUUCAAAGAAUACUAUCAGAAUAGCAAACAGUUUGGAUACUGAUUAGACGCUCAUCUGGAUCAAAAAAUUUUGCAAAUUCCUUCAAAAUUCGGUUCCAGCACUGAAAGAGUUAAAGUCAGGCAAUGUUUUGUGGUCUCAUUAGGGGACAUUAUGACUCCUUAUCAGAGUAUACAGAUUCAGAGGCAUAUCUGGAGCUACUCUGUUCUGAUAUCGCCUUAUAUGUUAUAAGGCCCAUUUUUGUGCGAUAUGAAUCAUGCCAUGCUUCAUUAGCAAGCUACAAUUAUUGUUUGAUCAUUGGUUAUAUAUUUGUUCAACAUCUGCCAGAUGUUCAUUAACAUUCUGUCAACCCAUGGGUCAUGAUUUAUAAACAUUCGAUGUAUAUCAUGCUUGAGCAUAAAACAGUUGUAUAAAGGCAUCUUUAAAAAAAGUCAUAUAAAAAGAAAAUACUGCUAAAAUGAAACACAAAACAUUUUUACAUUUCUUGCAAUUCACAAUUUCUUUUUCAUCAUUGAACACGAAAAACAUCUGCUUGAUCCACUUAAGCUGUAUAAGAUUUUUUGUCACCUGAAAUCAAUUCUUAGCGCGGAAAAGGAAGGAAACAGAUGUUUAAUAAAAAUAUAAAUAACAUGAAAUAAAUUCCUUAGAAGAAAAAACAUUAUUUAUAUUAAUCGUAAUUAUUAAGGUUUAUUUUCAAAAAAUUGAAAUUAUUUGUGAAUCCACUCCUUAAUUGAUUACCUUUCAAAAGGUACCACCCAUGCAUCAUUUUGUUUGUUUUUCUUGUUUAUUAUCAUUGUUGUUGUUCUAUAUUUUUAUUAGUGUAUGGUUUUAAGGUUCACUGUAGUGCUGUACAAAACUUGCUUUGCUGCAAAACAUUACACCAAGUGUAAAUGCUUUUUAGUUGAUGCUUUUUUCACACAUCUCUCAUAAAUAUUUUAUUGCAUUUUGUGCAUUGUUUGUUGCACUGCAUUUUUCAAAGUGUGUCAAUGACAGAAUUCCAUUUGCAGUAGUGGUAAUUAGAAGUUUGCCAUCAUCGGGUUAAUAAGCUCACUUAGAUUGUUUUACAAAUGGUUGAUUGUUUGAGGUUUCAAACAAAAAUAUUUUUAUUUUGUUAGUGGCAUAGUUAUGGCAGUUAAACAAGUAGGUUGUUUUGCAGAAGGAAAUUUGACAUUUUUGUGGUAUUUACAAGUUUCAAACUGGCAUGCACAUAUUUUUUAGCUGAUUCACAGACACACACACAAUCUUCUUUUAAUUUAUUAUUUAUUAUAUGCACAAAAGUUAAGGAUUAUUUUCAAUGAGAAACCAAAUCUGUGUGAUUGAAAGAAUAGAUUGUUUAUUUAAAAAAAAAAAGUCUGACCAAAUUAUUUUUUACAAUUGUAUUAAACUAAUAUUCAUGUAAAUAGUUUCAGCUUAGAAAUAUGAGAUGUGUGUAGUUUAGGUUGUGUUUACAACAAAGUGGUUUCCUGCUUGGCAAGAAAGUAAAAAUGUAAAAAAAAAGUGUUGGUUUUAAUCUUAAAUUACAAUAUCAUUAGAUUGUUUAUGCUUGAACAUCCUAUCUGUUUACUGUUGAGAACUUCUGUGCUGAUUACAUACUGACAUAUAAGGCAAAAUUUUUAACCGAGACUAUUCACCAUCUUGGGAUUUUAUGGAAUAAGUACUACCAAGGUAUUGACACAUUAGCACGAAGAAAAAAAUCAAUAAAAAAUCAGGAUUACAAAACAAAAGCAUUACAACUUCAUGAACGCUUUUAUUCGCGUUGCAAUAUCCUCUGCAUAACACCAUUAAUUCAUGGCAUUUCUUUAGUUUUCAUACUUUAUUUGGCCAAGCCAACUUGUACAUGUUACAUAGUAAUAGACGAAGGUGCUUGCUGUGAUGGACUUCUGUUUCAAAAGUGCUCAUUAUGUACGCAGUUUUUCACUUCCAUGGUCACUUACUUGCUUUCAUGUUUAUAUAAAGUGGUGUUUUUUGAAAUAAUUUAUAUUAAAUAACACAGCAUCCACCUGAACUCUUGAAGAGACUUAGGAGCAUCCAAGUUUAUUAAGUUUUGUGCAUGUUUUGAAAUUGAAGUAAUGUAUCUUCCCUGUAAAUUUUAAAGUAUUGCACCAGAAUUUUCAAAUAAAGAACCAUUUUUAGACUGGGAUCUGUUCUUAAAUUUUCACAGUCAGGUUUGAUUUUUGUUGACAUAGAAAAUAAUUUGAUUCCAAAGUCGCAUUCAUGCAAUUUAAUGUAUGUCAAAGUUUUGCUGCGGAAAAUAUUAGAAAAAUCAGCGCCUAAUUAACCUGAAACUCAAACAAAGUAAAUUUCUAACCAAACAUAACUAUGCAUAUUUGUUGCAGGCUGUACAAAGGAGCCUUAGACAAGGUGGAAUACAGAAUUAACAUGCAUUCCAGCUUCUAUUCUAGGUUCUUAAUGAAAACAGAUUAAAUGAAAAAUAAGGAUGCAAUAUAAUUUCUUUAGGACUUUUCCGUGCAGGAAUCAGAUCAAAUUUUUUAUAUCAGAAAAAAAUAGCAACUCAUAACAUAUAAGUAAGAAAUAACAUUUAUUUUGGGGAGUUUUCUGUGCAGGAAUUAGAUUGGAUUGGUAAUGGUGAAUUUGACAUUUUUACAUUUUAUAAAGCUUCUAUCUUUCAAAAUAUCUCUUUUCUGAAGUUGUAGGCAAGAAUUUAUUUAAGCGAUAUGCUCUCUGAUUUGACGUGCAUGCAAACUGUGUGUGAAAGCAUUCAUUAUCGUGUGAAGACAUAGAUGUAGACUUGUAUAGGUAGUCAAACGUGAAAAUGGAGUUCUGACUGCAAAUGUGUACACUUCAGUAUCAAAAUGUUUUGUAUGAGAAUCUAAAUGACAUUUUUCUGUAUUAUCUAUGAAUUUCGACUGAGAUUAGCUCAAAUGUUUACUAUAAUAUUGGGCUGACAGAUUAAUAAAAAAAAUACAGAUGGCUGAUUGAUUGAUUGAUUGAUUGAUAGAUGGAUUGAUUCCUAUUUUCCCUCCAACAUUAAAAAAUUGAUUACAAACAUAGUAAUAUUGUUAGCAGACAUUACUAGUAGUUUGCAACUGAUGUCAAUUUGUAAUUGAUGAAUAUUUUUAUGACAGGUAUUUGAAUAAUCCUGGUUUAUCCAAGCUAUUCCUUAAGUUUGUUUUUGUUUAAGUUUGUUAUACCAAAACUUAGUUUUGCUGAUAUAAGUGUGCUUGAAGAAUACAUGUUUCUUGUAUGUGAUUUUUCUGCAAUGUUCUUGACAUAUCAACCCCGAAACUUGUUGUGAUCUUUUUAGUCAAAUUGUAGUUGAAAAGCUGUCCACUUGAUUUUUGUAUUGUAAACUUUUAGAAGUGCUAAUUUGUGGUUUUUGAAAUUUUGUGUCUGUAUGCAUGUGUUAUUUAGCUGAUAGGAUUGGUGCAUUUUUGUGUAUUUGUACACAAUUUAUAAAAUAUGUAAACACACAAUUCUGAAGAUACUCACUUUAAAAAGAUUUACUACAUUUGUAACCAAAAAAAUGUAAACAUAUUUAAAAAGUAUUUGAAAUUAGUGUAAAUCUUUAUUUUAUAGAUUGCAUUUCAACAUGUGAUUUAAUAAUAUCCAUUUUGUUUAAACUGAAUAUGCAGCAUACCUUGGAGAUACGUACCAGUGUUAAAAGAAUUUCACGACAUUUAUUUAUAUUAGUUUGAUUUAUACAAUUUCAAACCAUAUUUGUAAUUAUCAAAACCAGUGUGUGCGCGUCUAGUUGUAUAUAAGUUGUGGUCACAGCUCACGGUGUUACCCACCAGUGUCUGUUGGCUGUUGUGUGGGUUUAUGGGUGUUGUCUACACUUGUCCUGCGUCAACCCUCUGUGUCAACGUUAGAAUCUCAACAUUGUCUUGUCGUUGUUUGACCAGCAACAGAAGUCCAGCAAAAUAAAACUUCCAUUUUCAGCUU